GCCUCCUGCUGUUUGAGACUCACUCAGUUCCGGAUGAACCCAGACUGCCCCCUGCUGAUGAGAACACAAGAAAUCACUUUGCUGCUGUCGCCUCCCUGAUCCUCUUCCUCAUCCUCAUCCUCAUCCUCACCGCGGUGGCUCAGUGUGGAGCUCAUGGGUCGCAGCAGAACCGAAACCCGGAGCAGCAGAUCUGAAGACUC